UUCCGGAUAACGCACAUAUGCUGGAAUGCUUUCUGCGUAAAAUGGAUUCGUCUGCCCAAGGAUGGGUCUGCGGCCUAUCAGGUAGUAGUGGGUGUAAUGUACCUACUAGCCUACGACGGGUACGGGUUGUGAGAGCAAGAGCCCGGAGAUGGAUUCUGAGACAUGAAUACAGGCCCUACGGGGCGCAGCAGGCGCGAAAACUUUACAAUGCGGGAAACCGUGAUAAGGGGACACCGAGUGCCAGCAUCAUAUGCUGGCUGUCCGGGUGUGUAAAAUACACCUGUCAGCAAGGGCCGGGCAAGACCGGUGCCAGCCGCCGCGGUAACACCGGCGGCCCGAGUGGUGAUCGUGAUUAUUGGGUCUAAAGGGUCCGUAGCCGGUUUGGUCAGUCCUCCGGGAAAUCUGACAGCUCAACUGUUAGGCUUUCGGAGGAUACUGCCAGACUUGGAACCGGGAGAGGUAAGAGGUACUACAGGGGUAGGAGUGAAAUCUUGUAAUCCCUGUGAGACCACCUGUGGCGAAGGCGUCUUACCAGAACGGGUUCGACGGUGAGGGACGAAAGCUGGGGGCACGAACCGGAUUAGAUACCCGGGUAGUCCCAGCCGUAAACGAUGCUCGCUAGGUGUCAGGCAUGGCGCGACCGUGUCUGGUGCCGCAGGGAAGCCGUGAAGCGAGCCACC
rnacentral:rRNA from 1 species